GACAGAGGGUGCAACCGUUGUUCGGAAUUACUGGGCGUAAAGCGCGUGUAGGCGGCUAAGUAAGUCGGGCGUGAAAUCCCACGGCUCAACCGUGGAAGUGCACUCGAAACUGCGUAGCUAGAGUCCUGGAGAGGAAGGUGGAAUGCUUGGUGUAGAGGUGAGAUUCGUAGAUAUCAAGCGGAACACCGGUGGCGAAGGCGGCCUUCUGGACAGUGACUGACGCUGAGACGCGAAAGCGUGGGGAGCAAACAGG
rnacentral:rRNA from 1 species